rnacentral:rRNA from 1 species
UGGGGAAUAUUGGACAAUGGGCGCAAGCCUGAUCCAGCCAUGCCGCGUGAGUGAUUAAGGCCCUAGGGUUGUAAAGCUCUUUCACCGGUGAAGAUAAUGACGGUAACCGGAGAAGAAGCCCCGGCUAACUUCGUGCCAGCAGCCGCGGUAAUACGAAGGGGGCUAGCGUUGUUCGUAUUUACUGGGCGUAAAGCGCACGUAGGCGGACUAUUAAGUCAGGGGUGAAAUCCCGGGUCUCAACCCCGGAACUGCCUUUGAUACUGGUAGUCUUGAGUUGGAGAGAGGUGAGUGGAAUUCCGAGUGUAGAGGUGAAAUUCGUAGAUAUUCGGAGGAACACCAGUGGCGAAGGCGGCUCACUGGCUCGAUACUGACGCUGAGGUGCGAAAGCGUGGGGAGCAAACAGG